UACCGGCGCCUCAAGUGGUCAGGAGGAUUAUUGGGCCUAAAGCAUCCGUAGCCGGCUCUGUAAGUUUUCGGUUAAAUCUAUAUGCUCAACGUAUAGGCUGCCGAAAAUACUGCACAGCUAGGGAAUGGGAGAGGUAGACGGUACUCGGUAGGAAGGGGUAAAAUCCUUUGAUCUAUCGAUGACCACCUGUGGCGAAGGCGGUCUACCAGAACAUGUUCGACGGUGAGGGAUGAAAGCUGGGGGAGCAAACCGG
rnacentral:rRNA from 1 species